rnacentral:rRNA from 1 species
UACGAAGGGGGCUAGCGUUGCUCGGAAUUACUGGGCGUAAAGCGCACGUAGGCGGCUCUUUAAGUCGGGGGUGAAAUCCUGGAGCUCAACUCCAGAACUGCCUUCGAUACUGAAGAGCUCGAGUCCGGGAGAGGUGAGUGGAACUGCGAGUGUAGAGGUGAAAUUCGUAGAUAUUGCAAGAACACCAGUGGCGAAGGCGGCUCACUGGCCCGGUACUGACGCUGAGGUGCGAAAGCGUGGGGAGCAAACAGG